GCCUGACUCCUCCCUCCGGCGGCUACGCUUCCCUCAGCACCAGCUGCUGCUGCGGCGGGCGGGCUGAGCCAGCCCAGAUGGACCUGGCUGCGGCCCCGGCUGAGGCACGAUAGGCGGCUCCGGCUUGGAGCCUCCCUGCGGGCGAGGGCGGGCGGGCUGGGACAUGACUCUGGGCGCUCCUCGGCCCCCGGCUCCGCGCGGCAGACGCAGCCAGCAGGAAGUUUGCCCGGGUGCAGCGGCGGCCGGGCUCCCGGCAGCGCCGCGCUCCCCCCAUGCACACGCACAGCCCCCGGCUCCGCAGCGGUGCCCAGGAGGCGCCCCGCACCGGCCCCACCAUGGACUCUAGCUGGGGCCGGCAGAGCAGCCCGGAGCUGGGCAGGGGCAAGCGGCUGAGCGUCGGGGAGCUACGCUUGUUCUUCGAGGCUCACUGCGCCGCUGCCGCUGCCGCACGGGAGCUGCCGGACCUGGCCAAGAGGAGCUGCAGCCCCCGCAACGGGCUGCUGCCGCCGGUCAUCCCGCAGCUGACCGUCACCCCCGAGGAAAGCGAGGAGGCGCAGGGCAGCCCCAAAGGGCCCCCGACGGACCCGGAGAGCGGCUGGCUGGGGACGGGCAGCUCACUGCACCUGCUGCAGUCCCGCCGGCUCUCCAACUCCUCGCUGUCCUCCACGGGCUCCUCGUCCGUCUUCGAGGACUCCGAGGACGACCUGCUGAGCGACACGGAGGGUAGGAGCCAGGGCAUCGUGCAACUGGAGCACGGGGAGGACAUCAACCAGGGGCUCCUGAUCCAGCAUGAUUCUGACUCUCUGCCUUUUCAAGCCACACAAGUCCUGGAAGGAAACAGAUACUGGUUCCACAAUGGGUCAGCUCUAUUCAGAGGAGACUUCAAUCUGCAGAAACAAGGCAACCUUUCCAACCAUCAGCUUAACACAAUGCAAAAUGCUGGGCAUCAGAAAAAAUCAUGGCAUACAAUUAAAACGAUGGUCAACUUGCCAGUCAUCAGCCCCUUCAAGAAGCGCUAUUCAUGGGUGCAGCUGGCUGGGCACACAGGGAGUUUCAAGGCAGCUGACAGCGGUACGAUUCUGAAGCGCUUCUCUGACAAUGAAAAGGAGUGCUUUGAGCUGCUGAUGAAAGAUUCCCUGCGCUCCUGUGUCCCUGCCUUCCAUGGGGUGGUAGAGAGAGAUGGCGAGAAAUACAUUCAACUGGAUGACUUGCUCACUGACUUUGAAGGGCCUUGUGUCAUGGACUGUAAGAUGGGAAUCAGGACGUACCUGGAGGAGGAGCUGACUAAAGCCCGUGAGAAGCCAAAGCUGCGUAAGGACAUGUACAAGAAGAUGAUUGAGGUGGAUCCUCUUGCGCCCACAGCUGAGGAGAACACGCAGCAUGCGGUGACCAAGCCACGUUACAUGCAGUGGAGAGAGACCAUCAGCUCCAGUGCCAACUUGGGCUUCAGGAUAGAAGGGAUUAAGAGGGUUGAUGGGACUUGUAACACAAACUUCAAAACAACUAAGACACGGGAGCAAGUUUUCCAGGUUUUUAUGGAAUUCAUUGAGGGCAACACAACUAUUCUGAAAAAAUACCUCAGGCGUCUGCAUGAUAUCCACCUCAUCCUCGAGUCCUCAGACUUCUUUAAACGACAUGAGGUCAUUGGAAGUUCACUACUCUUUGUGCAUGAUGACAGCGGACAUGCCAAUGUAUGGCUGAUUGAUUUUGGAAAGACCACGCUUCUCCCUGAUGGGCAGACCUUGGACCACAGGAUCCCCUGGCAGGAAGGCAACCGGGAGGAUGGGUACCUGCUGGGAUUGGACAAUUUGAUUAGUAUCUUAGACAGCAUCACUGAAAGAUGAGACGAGACUCACACAAACUCAUGGGGCUGCUUUGUAACCUUCUACUCUACUGGGAUCUCUCCAUUAGAGGUAAAACUCCUUUAACUCUCUCCAAACUCCUGGGGUUAUUGCAGUGAAAAUGGUGCUGCUUUCAGACCCAGACUGUUCAUGAUGAAAGUGACUGCAUUGGCCUUCCAUGAACCAGAGUGACUCAGGAUUGGUCGUUAGUGAAUCAAAUUAACUUCGGAUUGAUCCUCCGUGAAUCAGGGUCUCCAAACUCAGGAACCAAACCAGCAUGAAUUCAGGAGGUUUGUACAGUAAAUCAGAGUGACUCUGAUUUCAGGUGAACCAAAGUGACUCUAGAUUACCCGUUAGUGAACCAGAGUAAAUGGCAGAUUGCUUGAGGUUAUGGGGAGGGUUGAGCAGAAUUCUCCACUGGAUGGCAUUGCUUUGAAAACAGCAGGAGUGUUUGCUCCCUAACCCCAAGUCACUAGGCUGCCAUUUAUGUUAUAGAUUAGGCAAGGCCCGCCCCAGCUGUUGUAUUACAUUACAAGGGUGUGCAAGAUGGGAACUCCUCCAGGAAUGAGGCCCAGAAAACAUGGGGAGAAGGGUGAUUAUAGUUCAUGGCAGUGGAUGGUUUAGUGUCUGCAAGGGACAGCUGCUGUUGACCUUUUCUCUUACUCUCUGCCCUGGCCUAUCCUCUUUUCUAUCUAAGAACAUUCUUAACUAUUUCCAGGUAGUUCCUAAUGAGGUCACAGAUAGCCCAUUAAGUAAAUAGCACCAGGUUGUCUCUGGCACUGUGUGACUUUCAAACUGUGUAUAAUAUUGGAGAGGCUGGUGAAGUGGUAAUGCUGGCUCUUGCAGCUGGACAGCAUUUGUGAAAGGUCAGUGGCAUCUCUCUUUAGCAGGUGGGUUGGGGGGCAAAGUUAAUUUUUCAAGGGCUUAGUUAUUUUAGAGAAAAAAACCAAAUUCAUCUAAAUACUAGCAAGCCAGUUAUCAACAUGCCACUUUACACCAAGGCUUAGACUCUCCAUCUUUUUGCUUGUGGGUCAGAUUUCCUGGUGGUGCCAUGUUCAUUCUUUUGCCACACCGAAAGUGUCAGGGCAUAAGCUGAGUGGAUCAGAAAGGAAUUGUAUCCCCAUAAACAUCAUUACACUGUUGGCUAUAUCUGUUAUGGGCAUUCUUCCUUGGAAGCAUGAGGUAUUCACCACUUUUGAAAGCAAGGUAUUACAUUACUAGACUAGAAGUCUGAUUGCUGUGCCAUAUACCCUGAUUGGGGCCUCUAGGUGCUACCACAAUACAAAUUAACAUUUCUGUGCUCAUCCCAUAUCCAGAUAUCUGACAGUGCAGUUUCCAAGUUGGAGCCAUCUGCCAUGUAACAAGACCAUAUAGUCAUUAAAAUCACUUUCUUUUAGAAGUUAAAAGUUGUUUAAGCAACAUCAGUUGAUCAGAAAUCACUCUCUUUUGCCAAUACAACUGUAGUCAAAAGAAACUUCAGAAAUUUUGGAAUAACUGAAAGUAGUUCCUUGCUUCUGUCGGGAAUCACUACACCAAUGAUCACUGCAAAAUGAGGUAAAGGAGACUGUACAAUUCUCAUUUGGAGCUAAAUGUACAUGAUGUAAUGGUUGUAUUAAGGGUUGAGGAGCCUAGGAUAACUUCUCAAGGAAGCCACUUUGGUUCAUUUACUGGAAUGAAGUUGGAGCCCAGUCAAGCUUAAUAACCUCAGUUAUUUUUCAUCUACAUUAAAGAAAGCAUUGAUGUUAAUAGUGCUGAUCAUGCCAACAGUGACCUAGAAGAUCAGUUAUCCAAGGUACUACUGGGGAAGCAAUUGAAAUAGAGCAGUGUGAGUAUUUUACACCAAAACUGAAAUUGCUCAAAAUCUGAAAUUUGUUUUUAUAUUUAGUUGAAAAUUCAAAACUUUCCCUACGUUUGUGAAUCUUUUGGGGUUUAUAUUCAGUGAAAAUGGUCCUGUUUUUGAGCUGAAAAAGGUACGAGUUCGCUUGAAAUAGGACAUGACUUACAGAAAAUGUAGGCCUCUUUUCAAGUGAAUGCAGUCUUUCAUAGAAAGCAUGCAUGGUUUUAUUCCAAAUGUCCCUAGGUUGUGAAAUAUUUUAAGACAGCAAAAUGACCUGCAGUGAAAUUUGCCAAAAAUAUGGUGAAAAUGUUUUCCUACUUUCCCAUAGCCCUAAUAAAAACAACCCUGCUUGCAGUGAUUCAAGAGAACGGGUUAAAAUAGACUAGGAAACACAAAUUGUUCUUUACAGUUUGAAUCUGAGUUCUUACAGGGGAUAAUUAGAUGAGAAAACCCCUGGUUUUCAUUAUGUGAUUGUUACUUCAGGCACUCCUGUCAGGGGCAAAAAUAAUAAAAUCACAGAAGUUAGAGAUGGUCAUGCAGCAAUUCUCCUUGCAAGUGCAAAAUUAUUACUUAAGGUUCAUUUAAUAACACUUUGUCCUGUCUAGUUUUAAUUGGCAGUGAGAGUUAAAUUUCUUUCUUUCGUGAGUACAUAUGCCAGCAUUUUGCACCAAUGCAACCUCAUGCUCUAGGGAAAAAUUGGUGAUGAAUUUCCUUUGAGCAGAAUUUAGAAACCAAGAUCUAUCUAGGACUCAUGUCAAAUUCGUUUAGUUCUACAGUUCCAAAUGGAAGUUGGAGGCAACAUGGAAGCAAUAGCUCCAAAAACAGCAGUGCUGUCAUUUGAAAAGGUAUUUUGCAGUAGACAAUCUCAGGGGAAAGUGCUCUGUCAUGGAAAGGGAUCCAUUCCUGUGCACUUGUUGGAAAGGACAGCAGAAGGAAAAGCUUUAUUACAAGAGACAUCGAGCUGUGAAACUCUGUCCAUUUCAAAAUGACAAUUGUAGCAAAGUUGUUUUGAAGUGGCUUUUUGGCCUAUACCAGAACUAGUUUGGAAGAAGCUACAAUCCAACUCCUACUUGCUGGUAGACAGCUGUGGAGUCAGUUAUACGAAAGAAGAAAGGGGAGGGAGUUUUGUACAGCAGUUAGAACAUGGAACUGGGAGCCAGGACUCCUAGACUGUUUCCUAUCUCUGCCACUGACUUGCUUUGUGGUCAUGGGCAAACUUCCUAUGCCUCAGUUUUCCCAUCUGUAAAAUGGGAACAAUAAUACUUACCUACCUCACAGGGAUGUUGUGAGGCUUCAUUAAUUAUUGUUCGUAGGGUGCUUUGAGAUCGUUGGAGGAAAGAUGCAGUAUAGAGAAAUGCAAAGAAAUAGUUAAACUGAAUUAAAAACAACUGAUUUUUGUCCAUCCCUUAAGGAUGCAAGUUCAGAUGAAACUCAGCCCAAGAAAUACAAAUUGAAAUCCCUUUUAUGAUGAUAUACAGAGGGAAGAAGUCACUUUGGGUCUGAUCCAAUUCCUGUUGAAGUAAAUGGAAAGACUUCACUGGGAGUUGGACCAAACCCUUAAACAAUUCAGAGGGCCCUUGCUUAUUUUUUGUAUUAUUAUUAUUACUGUUUGUUAUUAUCAAGAUACUGAGAACUAAUGGCCUGUAUCCUCUACAGUGCAUCCUGUUCUGAACACUACAGUGCAAUUAUGACCAAGGUCAUUUUUGACAUUCUGACUGUAUCGUUUGAGUACUUGUUAUUCCAAGAGAAACCCUGCAGGAGAUUAUUUCUCCAAAUGUUUCUGUUGGACUUCUUUGAAGUUCCUGUAAGGCAAUGUUUGGUAGCUGUGCUGAUGGAUGGGUAAAUGUUUUAUAUUGGCUUUGCAGGGCAACAGCGCACCACAGCUUGCAUUUUGUUCUCAUUGUUGCUCUUUACAUAGUCUAAGAACUGUGUUUGAUGUAGGAGUUCUAAGAAUGCAUCCCAAUACCCAAGACAUAUUUGAUAUAAUGGGACUUGAGCCCUGAAGGUUAGAAGAGAAACCAGAACAAAUACUGUCUUAACUGGUCACAUCAUGUGCUGUCAUUUUGAAUUUACUUCCACUCAAACUGAGCUCAGUCUAGAAAAUGUUCCAUCUCUUGCAAUGAAAGGUUUCUUGGGAGGAACUGGGAAGUGUGUGACGAAGGAAUCCUACUGUCUCUCAAGGGAAAGUCUUGUCUGUCAAUGGUUUCUCGCAAUUAAUUAUUUUUAUCAACUUUUGGAAGGGGCAUUGAGUCACCUGUGUCUGCUCCAAUAAUCCUGCUGCUUCUGGAAAGGGUAGGGUGGAAAUAUGGAAAUAGCAUCCUCAGAGAAUCCUGCUAUUUUGGAAUGAGCAUAAGGGGUGGGAGUGGACUCAAUUGCCAGCUCUCUCCCUGAUUUUUCUGCUGUUCCUGUAGACCCUGGUGGCACAUACCACUUCCAGUGUUCCUCGUUUUUACUGGGGAAGCCCAAGGAGUUGCAAAUAGAGGGAAGAGAUCAGUGAAAUUCUGCACGGUGGGAACCAGUACAGCUUUGUACUUACAGGCAGGCUACUGUAGUCAUUGGUCAGCUCUUGCCACCACAAAACAGGAGCACAGCCAAACUCCACUGCAGGUGGGAGCAGCAAUUCGGGAUAGCCUGGUGAUCGUCCCCAGUGGACUAGCUGAGGUUGGCUCAAGAUCGUGCCUGUUGCUCCACUAGCUCCUGGAGGCUGGGAUCCUGGCCAUCUUUAAGUUACGCACUGAGAAGACACUCAUGGACGAUGAGGGAGGAAAGCCUGCCCUGCUCAGGGCCAAGGAGCCCAGGGCCAGAUUUUAAAAAGCAUGUAGGCACCUGAAGAUGUAGCUAGGCACCCAGUGGGACUUCCAAAAGCACACAGGUGCCUGAGUCCCAUUGGUCUUAGGCAUCCUACCUGCCUAUCUUUGUCUUUAGGUGCUUAGGUACCUUUACAAAUCUGCCCCCAAGUCACGUGGAAUACAAAGGCCCAUUUGAACUAGAUCCCUCUGCCUAUCAGAGACAGACUGGAUCUAUCCCUAAUCCCACACCAAACCUGAUGGCUUCUGCAGGGAUAUAGGUACUGGCCCAUGAAAAUCUCUGGUUCAAUGUCCUAAAACCCAAUGAUUCAUAGCAGUUGAGAUGAUCUCUCCACACUCAGAGCAGCUGAUAACUCCAGCAGGGAACCCGUACUAGGUGCUACCAGAGGAAGAGCAGUGCUCUGUCCUUUGAACCAUCUGGCUCCUGGGCUGGCAAUUAGUCACAGAGACCUAGUUCUCUCCCCUGUAUCCAGAUGGUGUUAACUUUAACACAGAGGAGACCAAAUAGACACUGUUAGCAUCUCUUUAUUUUUGUAUUGUAAAUAUUGAAGUAUACAUUUAUCUGGCUUGAAAUUGCAUAGAAGCAGAAUUGGUAUCUACUUAUUUACAGUGACCCAAAGGGUAGGUCGGUGCAGUGUUGCCAUAAGCAGUGGUAACAACAAAUCAAAAACAAUUCAGUUAAAUAAAGAAGUGGGACAAGGCUCUAGGGUCUCAGCGGGUAUGUCUACAGUGCAAUUAAACAGGCUGGCCUGGGUCAGCUGCAGGGCUGUAAAAUGGCAGUGUAGAUGUUUAGGCCUCGGGCUGGAGACCCACCCACCCUGCGAAGUCCCAGAGCUCUGGCUCCAGCCUGAGCAUCUAUACUGCAAUUUUACAGCCCCAGAGAUUGAGCCCCAAAUCAGCUGACACAGGCCAGCCGUGGGCAUUUAAUUGCAGUGUAGACACACCCAAUGGUAUUGUCCCUCAUAAGCAUGGGAUUUGUUUUUUUUCUAAAGUAGGGUAGGAAGGGUGAACUGGCUAGGAUGACAGAGGAAGGCCAGGUUUACACGGCAAACCCUUGCUAGUAUACCUAUGGCAGUCAGGGCUGUGAUUGACAUAGCUUUGCAGGCAAAAAUGCUUAGUGUAGAAGCAGUUCUACUGAUAUAUCUGCCCUUUUGGCAGUAUAGUGUAUUUUGUGUGCAUCCGUGUGUGUGAGAGAUAAGCUAUAAUGGCAAAAGCUGCAUCCAUACAAGGAGUGCACUCCUAGAAUAGUAUAGCUAUAUCAGCAAAGCACUCCUACUGUAGACCUGGCCCAAGAUGGAGGACCAGGGAGAAUGGAACCAACCUUAGGAAAGAUAGCAGGGCUGGGGAGGGCAUUUUCAGUCAAUGGUAUUUUAAACUGUGCCUAUUUACUUUAAAGCUUAUGUAAAAGUGGGUGUCAGAAGAAGAUACAAACUAGCUGGGGCAGGAGUGUAGAGCCUUGAGGAAAGUGGAUAUAAUGGGUGUUGUGAGAGGGAAGCCGAGAAAGGCAGAAAGUUAAUUCCAAAAAGAAAGACCAGUUAGACUCCUGAUUAAUUUGGUUUCUCUGUGUUACAGUUUCCUCUCUAAACUGUAACAUAAGGGGGUUGUAAAAAGCAACAUAAAUCAUCAAUCAAAGCAAACAGGUGUAAGAUUAAAACCUCAUGAGCAAAAAAGCAGGUCCUGAUUUCAAGACAGUAUUAAACGCUGGCAGCGUGAAGCCAUUUUAAUCACGCAAAGCUAAAUGCAAAGAUUAAAAGACCCAUCAAGCUGAGCAGGGUUUUUAUACAACAUUCCCAUGAGUGGCUGACGCACCAGUGUUUGAAGACUCUGUGGAAGGGUCUCAUUUUCACGCACUUCCUCUUCCAAAACCAAAUCCUUAGGGGCGUUAGCUACCAUGCUAAUCUAGCCUGAUGCUGACAACGUUGGUUCGUUCAUUUGCUAUCAACUGAAAGUCUCUUAAAAAAAAUAAAUAAAGGCAAUUAAAAAUCUGCUACCCGUAAUCCUCUAAUUUGGGCAUUCUGAGUGUGAGUUAUCAUGCUCGAGCUUCUCCCAGCAUGUUAGGCCCUCAAGACUGGCAUGUGUCAUUGGUAUGGUUAAUUGUGCCUAGAGUAAUAAGAUUUUGGAUUGGACAGACAGCGUCAUGAUAGGGGAAUUAUUAACAGCUCUCCUCUAGUAUAGUCAUACAUAAUAUUAGUGGGUGGGAUUUUCCAAGGCAGCUAAGUGAGUUAGGCCCAUUGAACUUCAAUAGGACUGGUGCUCUUAACUCAGAUGCUUUUGAACUGCCCCCUGCCCCCAUUAUUGUGGGUAACUGUUCCAUCUGUGCAGUUCCAUGUUCUAUCCUCCUCCUGGAAGGCUCCAGCUAGAAUCAACUAUGCAUAAGUAGGCGGCUUUUAUCCAAAGGGAAUGGGGGAGAGCUUGGUUCUUUUUCUAGAAGGACUUGAUGUUGUUACAUUUAGACAAUGGCACCUAGAUGCUGUGGUGAGGGAGGCCUGAGAAGCACUGAUGGUGAUAGUGUCCCAUUCUUAGCCUUAGCCCACCUCACUUCCUAACCCUGUAUUUAAUCGCUGUUUCACUUUCUAAAUUUGGGAAUCAAUGUAGUGUAUCCUAAGAGGAAAUGGCACUGGUGUGAGCUAGCCACAGUGCACGUAGGCACUCCACAGCAUUCUUAGCUCAUUUCUGAUCCUCACUGUCACAUCAUUAAAAGUCAUUAAUUUUGGAGGAUUGUGGGGUGGAGGUAGAACGUGUGUAUGUCUCCUGUAGUCAUCUCCACUGCAGAAUGAAGCAGAACUGUCUAGUCCAUAGUCAGUUUUGCAGUCUAGUGCAUAGUCAGUUUGGUACUAGGAAAAGGUCCAGCAAGGGAAGACAGUAUGAUACUUCCCACCCCACUCACUCACCCCCCUGGCUCUGUUUUCUACACAUCACCUUCUCCUUGAUAUGUACCACCAAUCCCCCCAGAAUAAUGGAGGUCAGUGACAUCUGAAAGUGGUUAGGCAUCGCUGGCACAUGGAAGUGUGAUCAGAACCAGCAAGUAAAGAUCUUCAUGUAUCUGAAUCACACCAGUGUGGGAAAUGCCUUCCCUGAGCAACCUCCACUGCAGCUGACUUAAAGCUUAAGAAACUGCACUGCAAUAGGUCUUGACCCCUCCUAAUUGUGAGAAACAUGCAGCAGCAGAAAAGAGCAAGUCACUACUAUGAGUGCCAACAGUUUUUAAGAGCUAUUGAUAGUGUAUCUCUGGGGAAACAGCGAGCCAUGAGUGAGCCACGGGAGUAAGAGUGUUACCUGAAAUAGGAUGGAGUUGAAUGCAGUGCAGAGGCAUGCUACUGAGCAGAGGUGGGAUGGGGGAAUCAAGGCUUAUAGGUUCAGGCCAGUUGUGACAGAGCAGUAGUUGCUCCUCGUUGGCAUACACCAGAGCUGGCCAUGUAGAGCUAGAAGUGAGGGAGAAAACAUGCUUAGCCUCUGGGAGGAGGAAGAAUUGCUCACCAGUGCCUCUGCUAGUCGGUUAAGGAUUUGCACUGAGGAGAUCCAAGGACUGACACUGUCCAUUGCUCCCCACCUGGAAGGGUGGUAACCAGGAAGCAGGGUCUCAGAGCUGGGAGUGGAAGGUGGAUAAAUGACAGGGUGCGCAGAACUCUGAGAGGAAGACCACAGCAGAAGGGGGCAAGGGAGGAAAAAGUUCCACUAAGAAGCAGUAAUAGUUAUUAAAUCAUUUCAUUUCUGCCCCAUCCCUCCUGGAACAAUCCCACACAUCUGGGAGCUACCUGUAUCCUUACAUCCAUUUACCUCACACCAAGGAUCAAAACAAGGUAUUAUUUUUGGCCAUCAAGAGCUAUAAUUCCGUUACAUGGAUUUGGUUUUCUCAGUGCAAGCUCCAUUGGUAGAAGUGGACCUAUCACCACCAAAGGGGCUGAGAACUGAUGGUGUCUGAAACUAUCCAUUCUAUAGCCAGUGGUCCUGGAGAGUAGAGGAAGCUAUGGGACAAACUGUAAGUCACUGACUGACCUUAACCCUGAGUUGGAGACACCCAGCACUUGUUGCUGGUGUGAAAUAGAAUGCAACCACGUUAGCUGUGUGCUUCUCCGCACCAUACAUGAAUUGUUGCUGCAGAGGAAAUGGAAUCUGUGCUUAUAGUUAACCAUCUCUUUCGAGGAGACUGCUUGUUAUGCCAAAUUGCAUACACAGACUAUAUGCCUAUGUGGGGUGUGAAGUGAUCCUAACCACUAUGACUGCAGCAGCCACUCUUCACUCAGGAAACAUAGGUGAGGUGUAAGGCAGAGAUCUUGGUGUAUUCACACUUUGGUUUCCUGCCUGAAGGGAACAGCUACUUUAUGAAACUUAUGUGUAUCCUUGGGGCUCUCCUUUCACACUAAACAUAAAGAUGGUGAUUGAAGGAGCUGCACUUCUGAUAGACUCUACAGAUCAAUAAAGUUUCGCGGCACUCUUUCCAUCCUCCCUCCACACAGCUAACCCUCCCCUGUUACCUGAACGUUGGCAGCCGGGAAUUCAGAAAUGGCACAAGGGCAAAGCGCUUCUGAGAUGUUUUUGGGCGUAUAACGAGUGCUGUCUUUACCUUUUCAGUCUCUUUGUUUGGAAGGCUCUAACCAGUAAAUAUCAGGUUAACUGCAAAUUACAGUAGGAAGCCUUUUAAAUAACAACUCUUUUUCCAGAACAGGGACCUGCCUUCUUAACUGACAGGGCUGUACUAUUAAGAGGUCAAGAAGAAACCAUGUUCUGCUGUAAGCAUUCCCCAAAAGGAGAGACUGGUGCAUAAAACCAAGCUGUUGUUUGGACUUCCCAGGGGGCUGAAGUAUCCAAUCCUGCAAGGCAUUUUAAGAUUUAUGUUCAAAUAAAACACUUCUUGGUGGUUUCCCUUCAAGAUGCCCUCCUUGUCUCAGUGAAGUCCACUUCAGAGGAGUUUCUAUAUUCUGUAUUUAAAAUAAACAACAUCAAGAACCCAGCAUUCUACAGUAAUGGCCCUAAAUCUUCAGUUUAUAGCCAUGGGCUAUUAUUGCUGAAUACUAGAGUCCUUUUAAAAAUAAAGUUCAUCCCAGGUAAAGUCCAUUUAAAGAAAAGAGAAGUCCAGUUCUCACAACGUAGUGGAGUUGAGCAUUGAUUAGAACUUUUCCCAAACCUCCAAGGUCAGGAACUGUGAGGUAAGUUAGCCCCUGAGGUAAGAAGCAAGUUUUCUUUACCAGUCAAAGGGAUGCAAUCAACUCCAUUAAUUAUUUUUUUUUAAAUACGUAAUUUUUCUCUUCAUCUUUUUUAAAACAUGAUCUCGGAGGAGCCUGAAAUAAUAUUUUCCCCUCCCACUUUUUCUGUUUUUCUCAGUUGCUGCAUUGAUUUCAAUUUAAUGUUCUUCUGGUAUUUCUGCCGAUCAAGCAAGUGCAAACGUGGCUAUAUUUGGUUACUUCCCUGUCAGUGCACCAGCAUCACUGGAACAUGCAAAGCUCUGGGGAACACAAUGGCCUUUAUGAGUUUGCUGCUGCCACAGCACGUAAUUUUUGAUUGAGAAUGAUUCCUUUCAUGAACACCGGACUCUGAGUCAGUGCAACAAAGCCAUUGUUAUUUAUAUCCUGAAAUCAGUGGCACUGGCUCAAUAGGAGGGAACACUCUUGAUGGACUGAAGUAGCAAGUUCAAUUUUCCUCAUUAGAUUGGGAAUCCAGUGUGUCGGAGGGUGCAGCAGAACACUUCUGAUGUUAAAACAUUACCCAUCUGAAAGCUGAAUGGAGGAAAUAAGAGACCAAAGAAGACAUUUCAGUUUGCCCUUUCAGAUACAUACACGCCCAGUGUGAGGUCCUGACCUUUGGUAGAACAUCUCCUGUUAUACAGGUGUAACACUCAGGUCGUCUGACAAGGAGAGGCCAGAGUCCCUCUCUCUUGAUGUUUUCUCUGGCUUACAAAAAGGCUUCCCAUCCCUGUGCAGACUGGUGCUCCUCAGCACACCUGGUCUACCCACUGCCAAAGCUGAAGGCCCAUCAGUGACAUAGUAGAGAUCAUCAUACGCAUAAUUCACAUUGCCGCAGGGGAAAGUCUGGAGCUUCACCAGUUCUAUCCCACCAAUAUUCCUGUGAAGACAGUGGCUUCUGUUCGGAGAGGCUGGAGAUGCCCGAGAACUAGGGGAGGAGCUGCAGUUCCCAUCAAAACCUGAAUCUUCUCGCUCUGUGGUUGCUUUGAGCUUGGCGUUGGGACAGGAGCGGCAGAUAUUCUCCAUCACCCAGGAUCCAUAGGUUGGGUUCCAAAGGUUUUUGGUGUUGUGUGGUCUGUGUGCCGGCUGACUGCUUGAUUCCAGCCUCUGGUUCGCCGUCUGUUGGAACCAUGACCUGCUGCUGGAAUCAGUGAGGCACGGUAGGCUGGGACCUCUGCCAGUCCAAUUGCCAAGGUUCUCCACCAGCAGCUCCUGUGGACGUCCAGCUUUAUGCCCUGCAUGAUGGGUUUCUAAUGUUAUGGGAGCCAGCUGAGGUGUGAGGGAUGGGUUCACCAGCAAAGGGACCAUCCCACUGGAACUAUUUGGGCACAUCACAGAGCUCCCCUCAUCCUCUGAUGCUGGUCUACAUUCAAUGGGCAGCUCUGUGUUGAUCACAUCAGGAUCCUGAAACAGAAAGGAUUCAGUAAUCACAUUUUACAUUCUGAACAUGCCCAGUUGUGACUUUUCCACAUACUUUUUCAGGGAAGUGUUCAGAAAAGUGAGAUAAUGUUAGCAGUGGUUAGCGCCAGCUGUGUGUAAUGCAGCCAUACAUUGUGCAAGCUGCCAUGCACCAUUUUGAUUGUGCACCUUGCUUAUUAUUUGCUAAAACUUAUUUCAUUUUAGGGUUUCUUUUGAACACAGGCUGCCAAUUUGUGAUGCCUUAUUGAUAUUAAUGACUAGGCAGAGAUCACCAACAUCUAAUAAUUUCCUCUUGCAUCUUAAACUAUGCUUGGAUCCAGGUCUCCAGCAGCAAAAGGCUAGCAGCUUAUCAACCCCUCGUGCCCUCUCACCCCCUUCUUCCAUGCCAGUUCAGCUGUGGCUUUCAAGGAAGUUUGAAAAAACCUUGAAGAGUGAAGUAAGGGCCUGAGAAGUUGUGUUGGGGUCUGGAAACCUUUCCAUCAAAAAUCAAACACUCUUCACUAGUGAAUGAGCUGAGAGGUGGAAGCAGACCACUUUCACAGGAAGGGAUUGUAUGCAUGCUGGUGGGGUGGAGGUAGGUGAGAUGAGAGAUGUACAGAAGCACAAAUGAAAAUACUAGCUGAAGUACAGGCCAAGCACAAAGGGAAUUGGGAAAGUAAUUAGCCAGUCAGAGCAAUCCAUUCCCUCUGUUUUGGGUGAUAAUAUUUAUAUCAUAGGAUGGUCUGGAUGCCAUAAACAAGUCAAAACUUAAAUCCUAAAGGCCAGUACCUGUGUGCAGUACUUGAUUCUUUCCAGAAUGGUGGAGAAAUUGGGCCGGUACUCCGGACUGUGCUGCCAACAUUGCGUCAUGAUCCGGUAACUUGAGACAUAAAUACAUAUUUGUGCCAAUUAAUAAUAAAUAAUGAUAAAUCAAAACCACAAAUCAAUAUGGAUUCAUUUUUCAGGUCUGUCUCUGGGCUCAGUUCUCAGGUCCAGAAGAACUGCACUCAGCACAGUACCCAAGGGGCAGUGCAAACUUGGCCUUGAGUCAUUUUCAUGUUCCCUGAUUCUGGGGCCAUGGGAGGUGGAGAGGGGGGGAAGGUGCAAUUACUCAGUGCUGCUCUAAUUUGUGCCCAGCUGUCAAUAGUUCCAAGGGGAUUUUCUGGCAAAUGGGGAAUUUCUGGAGAGCACCUGUGCAUGCUUCACUCAUGCUCUCUGGCCACACACCUGAUAUGCUUCCUAAGGCAGGUGAGUAUUCACAACAUUGAGGAAAUCUGCUGGUAGCUGGUGGCAAAGAGGGCCUGUACAAGAUCCCAGAACUGGAGCCUGUAUUUUUAAUUGUAUGGAAGUCUAUUGGUGAUGAAAGUUGACAGGUUACCAGCCCUAGACAUUGAAGUCAUCACUUUAUUCACAGAACGGGUAUAACAUGGAAAUAGCAACUUAACCCUCCUCACUUUGCCCUGCUUGUGUGCCUCAAUCAGGUUUUGGAAGGACCCCCUGGUAUGAGGAAAGUGUGUAACUAAGUCUCCCAUUCCAUUGAACCCUGGGCCUCUCUGCUGAGACUGC